GCUCGGCUCGAGACACGUCUAUCGGAUUAGAUAAAUCAGUUUUAGUUUGACUUGCCACUGACUCGGACGUGUACCCUCGUUAAUUGGAAGAAACCCCCUGUUACGGAGUUAUUACAGUUGUCGACGAGAAGGGAUUUUGAAGCCUUUUCCGCUUUUUUUUUCGCGACCGCUUGUGAUUCGUGAAUCCUUUUGGCGUGAUUAUCUGCCGCAAAGAAUUCGGUGAAUAGGCCGACGACAGUCCUCCAUCGCGGUCAACUGUGGUAAUCGCGAGGUAAAACCGCAGCCUAGCCACUACCGCUCUGUAUGCGUGCGGCAAGAGAAGUUUGACAGUUCUUUGGUGAGCGUGAACAUCGACGAAAGUGCAUUUUUACGGACUGGGAGAACGGACGAAAGUGCAUUCAUUGUUUGCUGCUGGCUGUGGACCGUUUUCGAGGAAAGUGCAUCGACCUUUUGUCAUAUUGUUGACAUUUUUCACUGCGAGUGCACCGUCUGGCUGAACUUCAGUGCUGUGCGGAUUGCUGUGCGAGAUUUCCGGAGCUGUUUGUGGUUGUUGUUGCUGCUGUUGCGUGCUGGCCGUGAAGCUAGUGUGCUGCUCUGUUGCUUGGACUGUGGUUGCUGCCUGCUUUGGACGUUUUUAUGCACUUUUGUUUGUGCACCGCCGCUGCAGGGUAGAUUUUACAGAUAUCUUUGAGCGGUCGUGUUGUUUCGGCGCACAUGCGCCAGAUCAAGAUCCCUGAGGACUCUCGCCGGAAAUCAACUCAACGCUUUGUUUUUGGUGGAGAGAGUCCUGCAACUUUAGCAACGCAACUUUGCAGCACCAACAACGGCAAUUUAAUUGAAAAUAAUGACAACGCCAGCCACAGCAGAAAACGUAGAAGAAGUGAAGGGGAGGAGUAUGAUGAUUCGGAUUCGGACUUUUACGGCUUUGCGGCCGAUUCCUUUUUGUUCGAUGAAGAACGAGUUUCCAGAAGGAACUUUUUAUCUACUCCAAAUGAUUUAGAAUUUCCGCGAUCUGAUGUUGAUGAAAGGGAAAUGUUAAAUCUUGCUAACGAUAUAGAAGCAAAUCCAGAGGAUGUUCGAAAUUCAAAUCAAAUAUUAGAGAAAAGAAGUAGCAAGAGAAAAGCGAAGAAAAGAAGAAAACAAGAUUAUGUGUACUAUUGAAUUAGGUAAAACGUUCGAAUAAUUGUACAAUUAGGUUGUGAACUGUAGAAAAAUGUUUUACUGUAUAAAAUGCAUGAAUUUACGAAUUGUAAGCACGAAAUGAAAAGUUUGCUUUCUGAUUUUGUUGUCUCUAAGAUCUAAAUUGUAAAUAACUAUUGUUUUAGAAAUGUAUGAACUAUUGACUCAAGGGGAAAGGAAUUGUAGUGGCAAAGCGAUGAUGCCACCGUUCGGUAAAAUGAUAGAAACCCUGUGGUGGGUUCUCAGAGUAUAGUUAGGAGAAAGAGAGUUUACGUAGAGCUCGGCUCGAGACACGUCUAUCGGAUUGAAUAAAUCAGUUUUAGUUUGACUUGCCACUGA